GGGUGAUGUGGAGUUUUGGUGGAAAUGAACAAUUCAUGUCUAGUAGGAUCUCAUAAUGCCCGUGUUCUCUCUUCAUAUUCUUUGAGGCAAAGUACCGGGCAUAGGUUUUCAUUAUGUGGAAACGUUGGAUAGGAUACUGUCGUCAUUGCCGUUUUUGUACGUCUGGAAAUGUGAAACGUCACCCCUGACGGAGUGAAUGAACGUGCGUCCACAUCCAGUGCUCGCACCUCA